CCGCCCGGACCCUGGAGGUGUCUGCGUCCCCCGUUACCAGGAGAAACCAGCCCCAGGCAGUGCGCGAGCACCUGCAGCAGGUCCCUCGAGGGCAGGGUCCACCCUCCAGGGACUCGGGGGCUCCGUAGGGGCAGCUCUGGGAUCCAGUCGGAGACAAGGUCGCCUCUGCCCCUCCCCCAGAGCAGCUGAGAAGUCCGGGUCCCUGUGAGCCCCGGGGAGGCCGGGCUGGGCCGCGCCGCGUCCCACACAGCAGUUCCACUCCCCCUAAGUGUUUCCUAUUUACUGUCACGGUUAAUUUUGUGUGUGGACUUGCCUGGGUCACCGCGGGGCCAUUCCCGGGGUGUCCUCUGGCCCCGGGGAAGCAGCCGCCCUCCUCGCUGUGGGCAGUCCCCCCCCCCCCGCCAUCUGUUGGGGACCAGCAGGGAACGGAAAGGGCAGAAGGCGCAGCUGCCUCCCUUGCCUGAUUCUUCUGAGCGGACCCCUGGAUCGUCUCCUGCUCCGGGUUCCCAGGCUCUGGCCUCGACCGAGGGCACCACUUUCCUGGGUCAGCUUAGAGACAACAGACCACAGCCCGUCCCAGGGCCCAGCACUGUGCCAAGCAGCCGUCACAGCAUGUUACACGUACCUCUCGGUCCCUCUGGUCCUGUUGCCCUGCAGGACUCUGACAUUCCUUCCUCCAAAGCAAAUAAACGUCCUACGUCACAAGCUCGACGUGACUCCUCAUGAUCCCCACGGUGGAAAUGCUAAGUAACGUGGCCUCCUGCACGUGUUCCUGACUCUGCUCAGGCAGCGCCACGGCAGCAGCCCGACAUCGGCAACUGGGAAGCACUUACGCCUAGGCAGUGCUCAGUGUCACAGGCAUACAACCUAUAUGCACAAUAGAAAUGGAUCAUGUAAUCGCACAUCGUGUGGCUACAUAACACCAUUUUAAGGAUGGAGAAAAGUCAAGUAAUUUACUCAGUCAUCCAAG